CCUACGGGAGGCAGCAGUGGGGAAUAUUGGACAAUGGGCGAAAGCCUGAUCCAGCAAUGCCGCGUGAGUGAUGAAGGCCUUAGGGUUGUAAAGCUCUUUUACCAGGGAUGAUAAUGACAGUACCUGGAGAAUAAGCUCCGGCUAACUCCGUGCCAGCAGCCGCGGUAAUACGGAGGGAGCUAGCGUUGUUCGGAAUUACUGGGCGUAAAGCGUGCGUAGGCGGCGAUUCAAGUCAGAGGUGAAAGCCUGGAGCUCAACUCCAGAACUGCCUUUGAAACUAGAUUGCUAGAAUCAUGGAGAGGUGAGUGGAAUUCCGAGUGUAGAGGUGAAAUUCGUAGAUAUUCGGAAGAACACCAGUGGCGAAGGCGGCUCACUGGACAUGUAUUGACGCUGAGGCACGAAAGCGUGGGGAGCAAACAGGAUUAGAUACCCUGGUAGUCCACGCCGUAAACGAUGAUAACUAGCUGCCAGGGCUCAUAGAGCUUUGGUGGCGCNGCGUACGACGAUUAAGUUAGUACCGCCGUCGGGUAAGGUACGGUCGUUCGAGUAGUUAAACGUUAACUAAGUUAGAGUUAGACGGACGNGAGAGNGCGACGGACGACGACGAGGGAGGAGG
rnacentral:rRNA from 1 species